rnacentral:rRNA from 1 species
ACGGGUGAGUAAUGCCUAGGAAAUUGCCCUGAUGUGGGGGAUAACCAUUGGAAACGAUGGCUAAUACCGCAUGAUGCCUACGGGCCAAAGAGGGGGACCUUCGGGCCUCUCGCGUCAGGAUAUGCCUAGGUGGGAUUAGCUAGUUGGUGAGGUAAGGGCUCACCAAGGCGACGAUCCCUAGCUGGUCUGAGAGGAUGAUCAGCCACACUGGAACUGAGACACGGUCCAGACUCCUACGGGAGGCAGCAGUGGGGAAUAUUGCACAAUGGGCGCAAGCCUGAUGCAGCCAUGCCGCGUGUGUGAAGAAGGCCUUCGGGUUGUAAAGCACUUUCAGUCGUGAGGAAGGUAGUUUAGUUAAUAGCUGCAUUAUUUGACGUUAGCGACAGAAGAAGCACCGGCUAACUCCGUGCCAGCAGCCGCGGUAAUACUGAGGGUGCGAGCGUUAAUCGGAAUUACUGGGCGUAAAGCGCAUGCAGGUGGUUUGUUAAGUCAGAUGUGAAAGCCCGGGGCUCACCCUCGGAAUUGCAUUUGAAACUGGCAGACUAGAGUACUGUAGAGGGGGGUAGAAUUUCAGGUGUAGCGGUGAAAUGCGUAGAGAUCUGAAGGAAUACCGGUGGCGAAGGCGGCCCCCUGGACAGAUACUGACACUCAGAUGCGAAAGCGUGGGGAGCAAACAGGAUUAGAUACCCUGGUAGUCCACGCCGUAAACGAUGUCUACUUGGAGGUUGUGGCCUUGAGCCGUGGCUUUCGGAGCUAACGCGUUAAGUAGACCGCCUGGGGAGUACGGUCGCAAGAUUAAAACUCAAAUGAAUUGACGGGGGCCCGCACAAGCGGUGGAGCAUGUGGUUUAAUUCGAUGCAACGCGAAGAACCUUACCUACUCUUGACAUCCAGAGAACUUUCCAGAGAUGGAUUGGUGCCUUCGGGAACUCUGAGACAGGUGCUGCAUGGCUGUCGUCAGCUCGUGUUGUGAAAUGUUGGGUUAAGUCCCGCAACGAGCGCAACCCUUAUCCUUGUUUGCCAGCGAGUAAUGUCGGGAACUCCAGGGAGACUGCCGGUGAUAAACCGGAGGAAGGUGGGGACGACGUCAAGUCAUCAUGGCCCUUACGAGUAGGGCUACACACGUGCUACAAUGGCGCAUACAGAGGGCGGCCAACUUGCGAAAGUGAGCGAAUCCCAAAAAGUGCGUCGUAGUCCGGAUUGGAGUCUGCAACUCGACUCCAUGAAGUCGGAAUCGCUAGUAAUCGUGGAUC